rnacentral:rRNA from 1 species
GUGGAGCCUGCGGCUUAAUUUGACUCAACACGGGAAACCUCACCAGGCCCGGACACCAGAAGGAUUGACAGAUUAAGAGCUCUUUCUCGAUUUGGUGGGUGGUGGUGCAUGGCCGUUCUUAGUUGGUGGAGUGAUUUGUCUGGUUAAUUCCGGUAACGAACGAGACUCUGGCCUACUAAAUAGUCGACGGGCGUUUUGGUGCAUGGGCCCCGUUCGACACAGUCUUCUUAGAGGGAUGAGCAGCGAGUAUAGCUGCAGGAGAUUGAGCAAUAACAGGUCUGUGAUGCCCUUAGAUGUCCUGGGCCGCACGCGCGCUACACUGAAUGGGUUAGCGGGUUGUCCUUCUCCGAGAGGAGUGGGAAAUCGCGUGAAAACCAUUCGUGAUAGGGAUUGGGGCUUGCAAUUGUUUCCCAUGAACGAGGAAUUCCCAGUAAGCGCAAGUCAUCAGCUUGCGUUGAUUAAGUCCCUGCCCUUUGUACACACCGCCCGUCGCUACUACCGAUUGAAUGAUUUAGUGAGGCCUUCGGACUGGCGGUCUUGGACUGGGGCGCCGGCGUUCUCCCAGCAAUGGGGUGCCGGCGACUCGCCUGGACGGGCCGGAAAGAUGUCCAAACUUGAUCAUUUAGAGGAAGUAAAAGUCGUAACAAGGUUUCC